ACUCCUACGGGAGGCAGCAGUGGGGAAUCUUGGACAAUGGGCGCAAGCCUGAUCCAGCCAUGCCGCGUGAGUGAUGAAGGCCCGUAGGGUCGUAAAGCUCUUUCGCCAGAGAUGAUAAUGACAGUAUCUGGUAAACGAAACCCCGGCUAACUCCGUGCCAGCAGCCGCGGUAAUACGGAGGGGUUAGCGUUGUUCGGAAUUACUGGGCGUAAAGCGUACGUAGGCGGAUUAGUUAGUCAGAGGUGAAAUCCCAGGGCUCAACCCUGGAACUGCCUUUGAUACUGCUAGUCUUGAGUUCGAGAGAGGUGAGUGGAAUUCCGAGUGUAGAGGUGAAAUUCGUAGAUAUUCGGAGGAACACCAGUGGCGAAGGCGGCUCACUGGCUCGAUACUGACGCUGAGGUACGAAAGUGUGGGGAGCAAACAGGAUUAGAUACCCUGGUAGCGACUGA
rnacentral:rRNA from 1 species